rnacentral:lncRNA from 1 species
ACCGCCGCGGCCCAUCAGCGAAGAUCGCUGAGCGGCGCCCGCCUUGCGGGCCUCCAGGACCCGGCCGCCGCCAUCCGGUGGGAAGCCGGGUGGCCUGCGGGUGAGGGGGGCGAGGCGGACGGAGGGCACCACACCCCCCGGGGGGCGGGGCGGGCGGAGAGCACCCUACAUCCGGGAGCCGGGGCGGCGCCUGGAGAGCGGAGCAGGCAGCGCUUUCUGCCCGCUGAGUGGGUCAGGCGCCGCCCCCUUGUGGUCUCGGCCUGCGGGCAGCCCUUUGGAGCGCGCGGGAACCGGACGCCCGCCCGAGGAGAGAGGAUCCAGGAGACCACUCCGGGCGGGAUCCGCGGAGCCUGGGGCCGGGCGGUUGGCCCACAUUAUAAGAGGGCCUGCGUUGCUUCUACCUCAAAGGCUUUAGGGUGUUUGUUAAUUCCCCGCCCCCCAACCUGAUGAUGCUCCAGGUAUUUACAGGCAGGUGCCCCAUAGGCUGUUUACUGGGAAGCAGAAUUGGUGGACUCCGUUCGGGGAUAUGAGGAAAGAUCCAUAAGCAGAGAGAAUAAAGCCUUUGCACUUACAUUUUACUUCUCUUAUCCCUCACCUCUACCACCUUUCCCCUUGACCCCCAAUGGGCUGCAGGUCACAUCAUCUUGUCCUUGAUAUAUUCAGAAAAUAGAAGCCCCUCAAACAACUUAGAAGCAGUCCCCGCAUGUCACCAAAUAAUAGACCACAGCUGGCAUGUGAAUGCUACCAGUUAGAGAUGUGUAGUAGUUUGUAAUUUCCUCAUGAAUAGUUCAAACUAGAGAUUUCUAAAUUAUUACUAAAUUUUAGUAUUAAUCUAAAUAUUGUUAAUAGAUUUUUGUAUUAUUACUAAAUGCAUAAUCUUUGGAGCAGAAGUUGUGGGAAAAGAAGAUUUGGACAAAUACCUGACAAGUUACCCGGUAUUUUACUUUCUUUGAAGCAAUUAAAGAGUUGACACCUAUCAAAGGCAUAUCCCGGGCACUGUUCUGAACAUGUGAGGACAAGAGAUUCAAAAUGCUAAAGGCUCACAAUAUCACAGCAAGAUGCUAUUGGGAAUUAGAGAGACCAGCAUGUUGCUAACAAGAAAACCUGCGUAUGUGAUUGCAGAAUUCUACAGGUGGUCUUAAAGAAGUUUUCUCAUGGGCCAUAUUCAUAUUCUGUGCUUUAUUCAGCUUCAUAUUUUUUCUCUAGCAAGGUAUCAUCAAGAGUUUGCAGGAGGACAUUGUUACUCUUGCUGAAAUUCUGUCAGCAGGACUAAGGUUACAUAUUAUCAUGCCCCUUCUGCUUCCAAUAACAAAUGACCUUAAAAAUAGCAUGGCCUGAGAUCUAUGCCAAGAAAAUAUCCACAUUAUAUUUGUAAUUCACACUGUUCUGAAGUUGAAUUUGUGAUUAUUAUAUUGAGACUAUAUUAAAA